AGUGAACGCUGGCGGUAGGCCUAACACAUGCAAGUCGAACGGCAGCACAGUAAGAGCUUGCUCUUACGGGUGGCGAGUGGCGGACGGGUGAGGAAUACAUCGGAAUCUACUUUUUCGUGGGGGAUAACGUAGGGAAACUUACGCUAAUACCGCAUACGACUUACGGGUGAAAGCAGGGGAUCUUCGGACCUUGCGCGAUUGAAUGAGCCGAUGUCGGAUUAGCUAGUUGGCGGGGUAAAGGCCCACCAAGGCGACGAUCCGUAGCUGGUCUGAGAGGAUGAUCAGCCACACUGGAACUGAGACACGGUCCAGACUCCUACGGGAGGCAGCAGUGGGGAAUAUUGGACAAUGGGCGCAAGCCUGAUCCAGCCAUACCGCGUGGGUGAAGAAGGCCUUCGGGUUGUAAAGCCCUUUUGUUGGGAAAGAAAAGCAGCAGGUUAAUACCCCGCUGUUCUGGCGGUACCCAAAGAAUAAGCACCGGCUAACUUCGUG
rnacentral:rRNA from 1 species